GGCUGGUCCGAUGGUAGUAGGUUAUCAGAACUUAUUAACAUUAGUGCCACUGAAGCUGGUCUACUAUCCCCUGCUCUUAAAUCUGACUGGCUUUAC
ensembl:misc_RNA Y_RNA Y RNA